CCUAACUAUGGUGUAAUGUACAAUUGUGUGGUCAGCCUCCCAUCCCAGCAGAUUCAAAGGAGGAACUGAUGUCAAUUGCAGUGGCUGCCAGUUAUUGAACACUUUCUUCCUGACACUGUGUUCUUAUAUUACAUAGUUCAAUUUAUUCAGCUGUCCUGUGAGGUUCCUUGUCCUUAUCUCAUUGGUGAAAAAGAUUUUAAAGAAUUGAAUAACUCACCUAAGAUGAUAAAUGCCAACAUUUUGUUGGAUGCCGAGGCUUGUCUCUGACUUCAAUUUCUAAGUACCACCAGAUGUGUGAAGUAAGAAGAAUCCUAGAUGGAAGGAAAGCUGUGGAGAAAAGGACAGUGGUCAUCAGACAAAAUGGAACACAGUGAAAUGGUGGAAAAUGAUGCUGAAUCAGAGGACUGAUGAAGAAAGAGAUUCUUGAGUGUUCCAUGGAGAAGUACAGAAAAUUGAAAGGAUGCUCUUGAAAACAACACAGUACCUAUCACAAUGCAGAUGAAAUCCUGGAGAAACAGAGGAAGUUGCAGGCCUAGAUUCCAGUUGCUCAAUUCCUCAGCAUCUCCUUUACUCCUACCCACAAUGAAAACAAGAAAUCAUGAGAUCUGGGUAUAGUAGCACAGCAAGUCAAGCUUUCUCCUGUAGAGAAACAUAAAGCAUCAGCAACUCUGCUUGGUCCUGAGGAGAGUCAGAGCACCAAAAAUAGUCGACGAAUAAGCUGAAGUUCUGACUUUCCCUGGAAUAAAAGAAGACAUAGGCUUCCCUCUCCUCUGGGGACUUAUGAGCAUAAGGAAAAUUGUUCGGUCAGGAGGAUGCUCUCCAGACAGAAUGCAAAGA